AUUGAACGCUGGCGGCAGGCUUAACACAUGCAAGUCGAGCGGGGGAAGGUAGCUUGCUACUGGACCUAGCGGCGGACGGGUGAGUAAUGCUUAGGAAUCUGCCUAUUAGUGGGGGACAACAUCUCGAAAGGGAUGCUAAUACCGCAUACGUCCUACGGGAGAAAGCAGGGGAUCUUCGGACCUUGCGCUAAUUGAUGAGCCUAAGUCGGAUUAGCUAGUUGGUGGGGUAAAGGCCUACCAAGGCGACGAUCUGUAGCGGGUCUGAGAGGAUGAUCCGCCACACUGGGACUGAGACACGGCCCAGACUCCUACGGGAGGCAGCAGUGGGGAAUAUUGGACAAUGGGGGGAACCCUGAUCCAGCCAUGCCGCGUGUGUGAAGAAGGCCUUAUGGUUGUAAAGCACUUUAAGCGAGGAGGAGGCUACUUUAGUUAAUACCUAGAGAUAGUGGACGUUACUCGCAGAAUAAGCACCGGCUAACUCUGUGCCAGCCGCCGCCGUAAUAC
rnacentral:rRNA from 1 species